CACCUAAACUCUAAAUUUUAGAGCACGGUAUAAAUAAAUCCAUCCCUGGCAGUAAGAUCCUCAUUGGAACACCAGGAAUGGUCAUACCUCGAAAGAGGUAUGGGUGAUCGAAAGAUCAUC
rnacentral:sRNA from 12 species